rnacentral:rRNA from 1 species
GACGAACGCUGGCGGCGUGCCUAAUACAUGCAAGUAGGACGCUGAAGAGAGGAGCUUGCUCUUCUUGGAUGAGUUGCGAACGGGUGAGUAACGCGUAGGUAACCUGCCUUGUAGCGGGGGAUAACUAUUGGAAACGAUAGCUAAUACCGCAUAACAAUGGAUGACACAUGUCAUUUAUUUGAAAGGGGCAAUUGCUCCACUACAAGAUGGACCUGCGUUGUAUUAGCUAGUAGGUGAGGUAACGGCUCACCUAGGCGACGAUACAUAGCCGACCUGAGAGGGUGAUCGGCCACACUGGGACUGAGACACGGCCCAGACUCCUACGGGAGGCAGCAGUAGGGAAUCUUCGGCAAUGGGGGCAACCCUGACCGAGCAACGCCGCGUGAGUGAAGAAGGUUUUCGUGAUCGUAAAGCUCUGUUGUAAGUCAAGAACGUGAUGUGAGAGUGGAAAGUUCACACUGUGACGGUAGCUUACCAGAAA